GCCAGACUCCUACGGGAGGCAGCAGUGGGGGAUAUUGCACAAUGGGGGAAACCCUGAUGCAGCGACGCCGCGUGAGUGAAGAAGUAUUUCGGUAUGUAAAGCUCUAUCAGCAGGGAAGAAGAAAGACGGUACCUGAGUAAGAAGCCCCGGCUAACUACGUGCCAGCAGCCGCGGUAAUACGUAGGGGGCAAGCGUUAUCCGGAUUUACUGGGUGUAAAGGGAGCGUAGACGGUAUGGCAAGUCUGAAGUGAAAGCCCCGGGCUCAACCUGGGAACUGCUUUGGAAACUGUUAAACUAGAGUGCUGGAGAGGCAGGCGGAAUUCCUAGUGUAGCGGUGAAAUGCGUAGAUAUUAGGAGGAACACCAGUGGCGAAGGCGGCCUGCUGGACAGUAACUGACGUUGAGGCUCGAAAGCGUGGGGAGCAAACAGGAUUAGAUACCCCAGUAAA
rnacentral:rRNA from 1 species